rnacentral:lncRNA from 1 species
GACUAAUGCUAGCAUUCUAGUUCAGGGAGUUCACUUCCUAAAAUGUCUAUUUUCCAGUGCUUGUCACUGCAGCAUGAGAAAUGGGGCGAGCUUCUGAGGGACAAAACCACAUCUUUGGCACAAGGAAGAAUCACAGAGCAAAUAAUGUCUCCUGCCACUGCUCUAGAAUGGGAGUGCUCCAAAUUAUGUUUUGCAGAAGAAUGUGUGAGUCUGUGUGUUGUUCAUGCAGACAGUUUCAGCAUUCAGCUCCGUAUUUCAUGCAAAUGUCAAAAGCAUGAAUGCUGUGAAGACAGGAACCAUGCACUUCCACGGGGACACUGA